AAGGAUCAUUAAAGAGUUAGGGUCUUCCAGGCCCGACCUCCCAACCCUUUGUUUAUUGAACCUCUGUUGCUUCGGCGGACCCGUCUCACGACCGCCGGAGGACCGCCCGCAACGGCGUCCUCUGGCCAGCGUCCGCCGAUAGCCAACCACUAAACUCUGAAUAAAUCGUGUCAUAUGUCUAAGUAAUUGAUUAAAUAAAGCAAAACUUUCAACAACGGAUCUCUUGGUUCUG
rnacentral:misc_RNA from 1 species